CGUUGCAGUUUUAUGCAACUUGCUCUUUCCAAACGGUUGUGGGAAAUGUUCUGCGCUAUAGCCAAUCAUCAGUAUGUCGUUCCAUUGCUCGUGUCUCUUUAGCUUUGUGUAUGAUUUCUAACAAUCAUAUACAAUUUCCAGCAACGCUUUUCCAGGUAAAGAAGGAUUUUCACGAAAUCGCUCGCAUGCCAGGGGUCGUUGGGUGUAUUGAUGGAACACACAUCAGGAUUGUCAGACCUAAGAAUUGUUAAUUUCUAUUUCUCGACAAUGGAAUAAACAUAAUGUCACGAUC